AAAAUCUUUUCUACCAACCUGUGUUUUUUGAUUGGAGAUUUAAUCCAUUUACAUUUAAGUUAAUUACUAAUUAAUUGGUAAUUUAAAUUAAUGACCAAAUAAUUACUAAUUUAAAUUGAUUAAUAGAGAUUAACUUACUAUUGCCAUUUUAUUAUUUGUUUUCUAUAUGUCUUAUAGCUUUUUUAAUCCUUCAUUUCCUCUGUUACUACUGCCUUACUUUGCAUUUACUUGAGUUUUUGCAAUGACACAUUUUGAUUCCCUUCCCAUUUCCUUUCAUGUGUAUUCUGUAGAUAUUUUCUUUGUGUUUACCAUGGGCACUGCAUAUAAUAUCCUAAAGUUAUAACAAUCUAUUUUAAACUGAUACCAACAGAACUUCAAUUGCAUUCAAAAGCUCUUCUCCUUGGGGUGCCUGGAUGGCUCAGUCGGUUAAGCCUCUAACUGCGGCUCAGGUCAUCUCAUGGCUCCUGAGUUUGAGCCCUGCAUUGGGCUCUGUGCUGACAGCCCAGACCCUGGAGUCUGUUUCAGAUUCUGUGUCUCCCUCUCUCUCUCUCUCUCCCCCCAUUCCCACUCGUGCUCUGUCUCUCUCUCAAAAAUAAAUAAAAACAUUAAAAAAAAAACCUCUUCUCCUUUGAUAGCUCCACCCCUCAUUUAGUUAUUGAUAUCACAGAUUAUAUCUUUAUAUAUAAUGUAGCCAUACAGAUUUAUCAUUAUUUUAUGCUUUUUUCUUUUAAAUAAUGUAAAAGAAUAAAAAAGGAGUUAUGAACCAAAAUUAUAAUAAAACCAAAAUUAUAAUAAAAAAACAAAAUUAUAAUAAAUGUAUCCAUGUAUUUACCUUCAUCAAAAACUUCAUGUUUUCAUAUGGCUUCAAGUUGCUGCUAAUGUCCUUUCAUUUCAACUCGAAGGGCUCACUUUAGCAUUUCUUGUAGUACAGUUCUAGAGGUAAAGAACUCACUCAGCUUUUGUUUAUCUGGGAAUGUCUUAAUUUCUCUCUUAUUUUUUGAAGGUCAGUUCUGCUGGAUAUAGAAGUUUUGGGUGACAGUUUGUUUUUCCUUUCAGCACUUUAAAUAUAUUAUCCCACUGCCUUCAGGCCAGAAGGUUUCUGCUGAGAAAUCCAUUCAUAAUCUUAUUGGAGAUCCUUUAUAUGUGAUAAGUAUUUCUUUUGCUGCUUUCAAGAUUUUUAAAAUUUGUCUUUAAUCUUCCACAGUUUGAGGGUUUGUCUUUGUGUGGAUUUCUUUGGAUUCAUCCUACUUGGAAUUCACUGAGCUUCUUAUAUUUGUAUAUCUAUAUCUUUCUUUAAAUUUGGGGAGUUUUUGGCCAUUAUUCCACAAAAUAAGCUCUGUGUCCCUUUCUCUCUUCUUCUGGUAUUCUAAUAAUAUGUAUAUUGGUCUGGUUUAUGUUAUUCUGCAGAGUUUCUUAGGCUCUGUUCACUUUUCUUUUUUGACUUUUCAGAUUCAUCAAUUUAAAAUAAUCUGUCUUCAAGUUUGCUGAUACUUUAUUCUGCUUGUUUGAGUAUGUUGUUGAUCCUCUCUAGUGAAUUUUUUAAGUUACUUAUUUUAUUUUUUCAGCUCCAAAAUUUGUUUGAUUAAAAAAAAAUAAUUUCUAGCUCUUUGUUGAUAUUCUCAUUUUGUUCAUAUAUUGUUUUCCUGAUUUUCUUGUGUUCUCUCUCCAUGUUUUCCUUUGGCUCUUAGAGCAUACUUAUCACCAUUGUUUUUAAAAUUGUUGUCUUGUAAGUCUAAAGCCUGUAUUUCUUUAGAGUCAGGUUCUGGAAAUUUAUUUUGUUCAUUGUUUUGUUCAUUUAUUUUGUCCAUCUUUCCCUAUUUCUUUCUAUGGUUCAUGAUCUUUUGUUGAAAAUUACAAAUUUGAAAAACAGCCACAUAGCCUGGCCUUUGUAGAUUGACUCCAUGCAGGGGAAGACCCUCGCUAAUUAGCCCAGUGCAAGGGCUUAAGGACUGUCAGGUCUUUUCUAGUCAUUAGUUUUCCCUGGGCCUGUUUGUGUGUAUUUUCCUCCUAAUUAUCCUAUAUACAUGACUUUUUACAUAUCUAUUUAAUUUAAUUAAUUUUAAUUUUAUUCAAUUUUGUUUAAUUUUAUUUUUUUGAGUGGGGGCAGAAAGAGAGAGAGAGAGAAUCCCAAGAAGGCUCCAUACCCAGUGCGGAGCCCAACACGUGGCUUAAUCUCACAACCAUGAGAUCAUGACCUGAGCUGAAAUCAAGAGUUGGACACUUAACCGACUGAGUCACCCAGGCAUCCCUAAAUAUCUUAAUUUCAGUGAGCCUUACCCCUGUUUUUAGAUCUCAUUGUGUUCCUCUCCCCAUAAUCUCUCACAAGCGCACCCAUGAGUUUGCAGACUCCUAUAGUUCUCACAUGCCACUGCUUUUAGCAAUCUCCAGUCUGAUAUCCAAUGAUGCCUUUGUUUCUGUCUAAGGUCUAAGGCAAGCAAAACAGAAACCAGUCUCUCAGGAAGCCAUCAGACAUGCCAGGACAUUGCAAACAAGAUUCACUCUUUUCCUCCUGUCCCAAGGGAGGAGCUGGGAAUUGGACAACUUCUUCCCGUCUCUGCUGUGUGAUGCCAGGGAGGGGUGAGGCAAGGGUGAACAAAAAUGCCAGGAAGUUUCCUACCACUGCGAGUAUGGCUUUUUCUUGAUUUGACAUUCACUCUGUUGUUCCAAAUCUUUGACUAGCUUCUAAAUCUCCCACAAAGCCGUUUCAUUCUGCCUGUUGUUCAUCUAGUGUUUCCAUGUCAGAAUGAGAGCCUAGAGCUUCCUAUCCACCAUCUUGCUGACAUCAGUCUCUCUUGGUGUGUAUCUUUUGGAAAAAAAAAUGUUGGAGGGAAUGAGGUGUUAGGUGAGGCUGAACAAAAGGAACUGAUCGGGGUGCCUGAUGUGGGGGAUGACACAGUGCUAUAGCCAGGCAUGUUUUUGCCUAUUCUGAUGCCGCUCACUCUGUUUUGCCUAUUCUGAUGGCCGAUAUACUUUUGUAAACACACUACUUUCUUUUCCUAGAAAAUAAUGUCAUUUUCUCUUUAAAUAGUGCAGUGAUACCUUUAGAGAUGCUAUAGUUGCUAUCGAAGCAAGUAAUUGUGCAGAAGAAAUGAAGGCGUGGGGGAAAAGGCAUAGUUCUUAUUCAAAUUGGGAGCAAUAAAUAGGGCCAGAAAAGUACAUGAAAUGACAAAUGUUUGUAAGUAAAUUUGACAGUUUAAGGUGGGACUCUCCAGACCUGCUAAAAGAAAAUUCUGACAUCCGAUAAUCUAUGAACUGCUUUUCCCCGGCCUAGGCCAGAUCUGAGCUCUAACCCAAAAUUAACACAUGUUCGAAUUUUCCCAGACCUGUUUAGAUAUGCCCCGUUUUUAAAAUUUGCUUUUAAAACUUUUUGAUAAUUUUUGAUAAAUGCCCAGUUAGAAGUAGAAGAUUAGUGUCCAAAGUAGGAAAACAGUUUCCCCACACUUGAGUGUUUCUAAAUGUGGGGAAGAGACUAGCCUAGAUGUUCUCUUUUGUUUUAUUGGCCAGUUUGUCUAUUGCUAUGCUAUUACCACGUUGAUUUCUUAUAGUUUUAUCCUUUAUACUACAGCACUGAUGGCUGUUAUUUAAAAGUGUCUUUGCUCUUCUUGUACUUGCCCUUCCAUAUUGAUUUUAGAGUCAGGCAAGUUCCAUAGGGGAAAAAAAAAAAAAAACAUUGUGGUUUUGACUGGAAUUGCA